AAAAAAAAGAAAGAAAAAGAAAAUGAGAUAACUUACUUCCUCAAUUUUCCCCCUCCCAGCAACCCUCAAAUUUCUAUUUUAAUUGAUUUAAAAUUACUAUCUAGUGUAUUAGUAAAUUUUUUCACACUUCGUUAGUGAAAAAAAAAAGAAUUUUAAAAAACCAACCUGAAAUAUUAGACUUUUUACCUGUAACUGGGUCUGAACAAUCUAGUUCUCAUAAAGCAGAAAAAACCGAAACUUGUGGAAGCAAGCAGCUUAUUAUCAUGAAGAAGACUUCAGCCUUCCAGUUUCUGGAUGAAACUAGGGGCAGUAAUAUUAGAAACCCGAGUGGACCCUUUGCCUGAGAAACAUGUUCAUCUCUUAGUAAUUUGGACUAGAGAGCAUGCAAAAUAUGCAUCAAUAUAAAAUCAACUAACACAGAUUCCAGGGUCACAAGCCCAAAUAACAGUAAGAUCUGUAAAUAUCAAGGAAAACGUAGAUUUAAAAUUUCAGAUCAGAUUCAUUCCUCCACUCACAGCUUAUACAUAUUGUGGUCAGAAGCUGGAAGUAAGCCUAUGCUCUAAUUAACUCUGCUCUGGGAGGCGAGGCUCUCACGAGAGAGAGGAGAGAGAUGGGGGUGGGGGGUGGAGAGGAUUGGGAGCACUUCAGAGAAAAGAUCUGAGAGAAAAGCCUGGGACUCUGCCACCCAGCUCCCUGGCCCCUGGGAGAAGCCAUGGCAGAUAUUUGGGAUGAGGCAGCAUGCUGGUCCCUCAGCAGCAUCCUUAUCACGUCAGCUGUGAGAGAAAUAAAACUGUGAGACUGUGAAGUGUAUAAAGGAUUCUACCGCUCUCCCGGGGCUUGGAGACCCACAGAUUGGAGAAGCUUAGGAGACUGUGGCUCCUGGAGUUGAACACAAUCAGGGGAGAGGAGUGCUCUGCUCUCCUCAUGCCGCUUGCAGUCUCCUGAAGUCCUUGCCACCGAGGGAGCUUCACUAGCAAUUACACUCCUGACCACCCGAUGCCCCUCUGGCUCCUCUUAGAAGAGGAGAGGAGUGAUUUCAUCACCUGGUGAGUUCCUAAGGAGAACAGGGUUUGUGCAGCGCAGUCCCCAAUGCCCUGCCCCCUACAGGAGUGAGGCCACCUGCAGACAGCCUGCAUCUGGUGCACCUGUUCCUUCUCCCCAUCUGUACAUUUCACGGGGCCACUCCGUCCCUGUGCUGCAGAGGAAUGGGUGGGGGAGGCUGUCCAAUCUGGAGGCUCAGGGGUGGAGAAGCCCACCCCACAGAUAGAAACCAUGACCUCCACCAUCAACCCUGUCAGUAAUGAAGGUAUUUUCAUUUCCCACCUCUCUUGCUGCAGACCUUUCAUGUGUUCUUCACUGGGACACCUUGAACUCUUAACACUUAGGAAAACAUUUUUUUUCUAAUCCAGAGCAGAAAGUUUGGAAGUUUAAAUUCUAGCUUCACAUGAUUCAACCCCAAAUGAGGUUUUUUUUUUUUUCUUUUUUAAUUCGAACCAAUUUGCUGCGAUGUAGAGAAUGUUCUGGAUUGGCGAUCAGAAGGUACGGGCUCUACACAGGGCUUGGAGCUUUCCAGCUUUGCAGCUUUGAGUGAGAACCUGCUCUAGGCUUCGGUUUCCCCAUCAUGGCUUCUGUGAUUCCAGGAUCAAGAGUUGGCCAUUUAGAGGUACCAAGAAGAGUCUCCAUCUCAAUCUUCUUUGCCACGUCAUGCAUGCCCUUGAAGCAUUAGAAUUCCUUAAAGCUUCAUGGGAGAAUGCCAUGGGAUGAUGAAGACAGAGAUUGGAGUCAUGCAUCUGCAAGCCAAGAAAUGUACAAGAUUGCUGGCAAACCACCAGAAGCUAGGAGCAGACAAGGAAGGAUCCUCCCCUAAAGGUUUCAGAGGGAGCCAUGGCCUUGCUGACAUCUUGAUUUCAGACUUCUAUCCUCCAGAAUGGCCCUAUUCAUCCACUCCAGAAAUUACCUGGACUGCCGUGUUCUGACAUAGCCUGGUUCUCCACCAGUGGUCUCACCUAGUGCCCUUUGGCUCUGUGGCACAAAGCUUGCUGGGAUAAAUAGCAUAAAGAGACUGGAAGAAGAUGGGGAUACCUUUCAAAUGCCAAUUCCCUGAAUCCCUUGGAGGGCACAGAGAAUCUGCAUUGGUCUCAAGAACUCAAAAGAAGAACCAUGGGGAUUAAAAAGGAGGCACGAAUCAUAAAACAUUCAGGUGAUUAACAAGAGUUAGCUCUGCCUCCUUCCAGAGAGAAGGUUUGGGGGCACUGAAGAGUGGCAGGGACCAAAGAAAGGUGUGACUGUCCACCCUCUCUGAAGGGGUCCUUCUCAGUAUUGGGAACUGUCCCAAGAAAACCAUGGACACUAUUUGCACAUGGGGGAGCACUGCACAGAAGAUAACCCCAAACCAAGCCAGAGGAAGACCACUCCCAGAAGUCAGCCAAUUAUAUGAGAUAAUAUCUGCUAUCUCUUCCAUCCUUCUUCCUGACUUCAGCACAUGGGAUGGGCUAGAGAUCUAGAUGGAAGAGGAAUGUGAGGUGUCCCCAGAACAGACUAGAUCCUCCACUCCAACCCUAAGGUUGGGGAGGAAGAGAAUUGAGAAGACGAUGUAACUGUCCUCUUGAGCUGAUGCCUUGCUACCUCUUAGUAAGUGGAAAAAUUAAAUAUCAAUUUGGAGAAGAGAUCACAAUGUUGGACUAUACUGGGAUGAAUAUUUAAUAGCUGAAAAUGCCUGGAAAGCUGUGAGUUUUGCUGGGAUAUUUGAGGUUGGAAAUGGAGAUUUGACAUCAAGGUGAAGGCAGCAAUUUGAGAACAAUAAAACCAUUGUAUCUAAAUGCAGUUCAGACCAUUCAGUCAUAAAUUGUAUUUGAUUGCUGUUGAAAAGCCACAAUGAAUGUUAUUGUUUGGCAAGAAUAAUUCCGUCGGUCAUUCCAAGUCACUGGUUAGAUUUUAAGGUACAAUUGGAUUAAAAUAGAUAAUUAGGAAGCACAUUUCUCAUUAUUCAGGAUGGAUUUAGCUGAUUCACAACUUCAGUUGCAAGAGAUUAGACUGCAAAAUUAGAGAUUAGAUUGAAAUAUAUUAGACUGAAAAUUUCAUUUUUUAUUUUAGUUUGCCUUCUCCCAGACAGUGUGUUGACGUGGAAGCUGUCAGGGCUCAGAAGAUCUGGGGUCUAAUGGCUCCAUCCAUAACCACCUAUAUCAAAGCAGUCACAUCUUAGGAACUUAUGGUAUCUUGAUUUCUUUCCAUUGUUACCCUAAUUCAGUAAGCAUUCGCAAAGUAUCUUAUGAGGAUAGCGGCUUUAGAAUUAGACCAUGUAGGUUAGAAUCCAGGGGCUAUAAUUUACUGGCUGUGUGAUCUUGGUCAAGCUACUUAUCCUUUCUGAGGCACUGUUUUCUCAUCUUUAAAUGUGGAUGUGGCAAUUGAACUGGGCCACAAAGAAUCAGUAGAAUCUCCUCUGUAAAUUGGAGUAUUUGAACUAUGUGAUGUUUAAAACCUCUUCAAUUCUAAAAGCCUAUUCUAUAUAACCCCACAGGGAAGAGAAUGGAUUUCAACAGAAUCGUGUGGCUUCAGAUGAUAAAGAAGUAAGAAUUUCCAGGUUAGAUAUCAGAUAUAAUACUUACAGAGGUUCUGGAUUUGUCCUCCUAAUUAAAAAAAUAAACUAGUGACUUGUCUGAUUGUAUAAUUUUGCUAUCAUUCUGCUGAAAGUUAGAGAUGAAGUGAAUCAGUAGUUUUCAAACAUGAGUCCAAGAAUGGGCAGCAUUUGAUUCACCUGAGGAGGUUUUUAUAGUAUUAUCAAAAUCUCUGUAUUUGUUGAUUUCUUAUCUACUUUUUUGGGGUCAAUUACUGAGUGUUAAAAUCUCCAACUCUAACUGUGGAUUUGUCUCAUUGUUUUUUACUUCUGACAGUUUUUGCUUCAAGUAUUUUGGAACUUUAUUAUUAGGUGUAUACACAUUUAGGAUUUUUUUCUUGAAUUGAACCCUUUUAUCAUUAUGAAAUGUCCCUAUUUAUCUCUGUCUUGUCUUGAAGUAUGCUUUGUCUGAUACCUAUAUAGCCACUCCAGCUUCCUCCUGAUUAGUGUUUGCAUAAUACAUCCUUUCUAUCCUCUUACUUUUAACCAAUAUGUAUCUUUCUGUUUAAAACUUCAUCUCUUUUAAACAGUAUGCAUUUGGGUCUUUUCAUCUAGUCUAAUAAUCUCUGCCUUUUAAUUACAGUGAUUAAUCCAUUUAGAUAUAAUGCAAUUAUUAAUGUAAUUAGAUUUAAGUUUAUCAUCUUGCUAUUUGUUUUCUAUUUGUUCCAUCUAUUGUUUGCCCCUUUUUUUCCUCUCCUUUUCUGCCUGCUUUUGGAUUAUUUUCAAUAUUGCAUUUUAUCUCUACUAUUGGUUUAUAAGCUAUAGAUAUUUGAUUUAUUUUUAAAAUUGUUGUUCUGGAUUACAACGUGCAUCCCUAAUUUAUCAGAAUCUACCUUGAAUUCCCAUUAUGCCACUUCCAAUAUACAGAAUUAAAAA
rnacentral:lncRNA from 1 species